GUGGAUUAGAUACCCUAGUAGUCCACGCCGUAAACGAUGAUAACUAGAUGUUGCGGGAAUUGACCCCUGCAGUAUCGCAGCUCACGCAUUAAGUUAUCCGCCUGGGGAGUACGGCCGCAAGGCUAAAACUCAAAGGAAUUGACGGGGGCCCGCACAAGCGGUGGAGUAUGUGGUUUAAUUCGAAGCAACGCGAAGAACCUUACCUGGGUUUGACAUCCUCUGAAUACGGUAGAGAUAUCGUCGGCUCGCAAGAGACAGAGAGACAGGUGCUGCAUGGUUGUCGACAACU
rnacentral:rRNA from 1 species